UGACACUCCGGAUUCCACUCUUGCUCCAGAGUUUACGUGGUGGUUUGCCCUGCCAGCUCAGUUCUGUGAGGAGUCCAAAACAUGGGUGGAUUCAGUUUUUCCAGCGUUUUCUUGCUUUAAGGAUGGGAUUGGUGAUCUCUGCCCUCUCUAUAUGUUGGGGCUGAAACCAGAAGUUUUAUUUGUGACCAUUUUUGAAAUAUGCCACAAUCAGUAUAAGCCUAUGAUUUUCAAAUAUCAUGAUUUUCUUUAAUUGAAGUAUAGCACAGAAAGUGAAGAGUACACAAACCAUAAGAGACAACAAUUUGAUGACUUUUCACAAAGUGAACACAUACCUGUAACCACCACCAAGACCAAGAUCUGGAAUAUUACUGGCACCUCAGAAACCCACGUUAUGCCCCUAUCUAGGUGUUACACGUGAAGGCUAACCACUAUUAUGACCUAUGUCAGUAUAAGGGGUUUUUGUUUUUGUUUUUGUCUUUUUGCCUGUUCUUAAACUUUAUGUAAAUAGAAUUAUCAAUCAUGUACGUUUUUAUGCCUGGCUUCUUUUGCUCAGUGUUCUGCUAUUGAGAUCUGCCCAUGUUGUUGCACGUAGGGGUAUUUUCCUGUUUCGUGUCUGUGUAGUGUUCUAUGAUGCGAAUAUACCACGCUGUAUUUAUUCAUUCAACUGUGGAUAGACGUUCAGAUGGUUUCCAGUUUGUGACUACCAUCUGUAAUGAUGCUGUGAACGUUUUUAUUCGUGUGUCUGGAGGACAUGUUUGCAUUUGUGUCGCAUAUCUGCUUGGAUUGUGUGGUAGCCAGAAUUCUGUGUUGAUGCCCGAUGACCCAUGUCUUUUUUAAAAUUUAGGUAACAUUGUUUUAUAACAUUAUAUAAAUUUCAGGUGUACAUCAUUCUAUUUCAGCUUCUGGAUAGACUGCAGCGUAUUCACCGCCAAAAGUCUAGUGGCCAUCCAUCAUCAUACACACGUGCCCCUUUACCCCUUUCGCCCUCCCCCCACCUCCCUACCCCACUUGUAACCACCAAUCUGUUCUCUGUAUCUAUGUGAUAUUUUUUCUUUGUAAACAAACAACCCGAUUAAAAAAUGGGCAGAGGAUCUGAAUUUUUCCAAAGGAGAUAUACAGAUAGCUGAUAGGCAUGUGAGAAGAUGUUCAACAUCACUAAUUAUUAGGGAAAUGCAAAUCAAAACCACAAUGAGAUAUUACCCCACGCCUGCCCGUCAGCUGGCUAUUAUUAAAAAGACAAGAAGUAACAAGUGUAGGAGAGGAUGUGGAGAAAAGGGAACCCUCGUACACUGCUAGUGGGAAUGUAAAUUGGUGCAGGUAUGGGGGACAACAGUAUGGAGAUG
rnacentral:lncRNA from 1 species